AACGAACGCUGGCGGCAGGCUUAACACAUGCAAGUCGAACGGUUGUAGCAAUACAGCAGUGGCAGACGGGUGAGUAACACGUGGGAACCUUCCUAGGGGUACGGAACAACUCAGGGAAACUUGAGCUAAUACCGUAUACGUCCGUGAGGAGAAAGAUUUAUCGCCCCUAGACGGGCCCGCGUAGGAUUAGGUAGUUGGUGAUGUAACGGCUCACCAGGCCUACGAUCCUUAGCUGAUCUGAGAGGAUGAUCAGCCACACUGGGACGGAGACACGGCCCAGACUCCUACGGGAGGCAGCAGUGGGGAAUCUUUGACAAUGGGCGCAAGCCUGAUCCAGCCAUGCUGCGUGAGUGAAGAAGGCCUUCGGGUUGUAAAGCUCUUUUACCAGGGACGAUAAUGACGGUACCUGGAGAAUAAGCCCCGGCAAACUUCGUGCCAGCCGCCGCAGUAA
rnacentral:rRNA from 1 species